GCUUUGGAAGAGGCUGCCCAGGGAGGAGGUGGAGUCCCCAUCCCUGGAGGUGUUCAAGGAACGACUGGAACUGGCACUCAGUGCUUUGGGUUGGGGACAAGGUGGGGAUCAGGCACAGGUUGGACUUGAUGGUCUUGGAGGUUUUUUCCAACCUAA